UAGUAGUGUGACAUGCCCAUUUGGGAUUUACUCUGAUGUUGAAUUAUUAUUUAUUAAAUUACUUUUGGGUAACGGGGUGUUACAAAGACUAUU
rfam:Medicago truncatula strain A17 chromosome 8, whole genome shotgun sequence.